CAGAUGUUAAACGUGAAGGAUAACGUUGCUUUAGCAACGGCCCGAAGGGCGAGGCAAAGCCGAGUCAUCCUGCACGACCCGCCA
rnacentral:sRNA from 1 species